CUUAAAGCAAGGAAAUCACUAUGUGAUCCUUGUAAACUCAUCGAACCUUUAAACAAACUUAUAAGUAAGGGUUAUCGUACCAAUAUUGUAAUUAGAUCUCUGAAUAUAGUUCACAUUGGCACUAAUAUUGAUUUUGUCAUUAGCAAAUUAAAACAUAACUAAAUUUCAUUAUCUUUUGAGGCGAGAUGUAUAGGGGACACAGCCACG
rnacentral:lncRNA from 1 species